rnacentral:rRNA from 1 species
GACGAACGCUGGCGGUGUGCUUAACACAUGCAAGUCGAACGGCAAGGCCCUGCUUUCGUGCGGUUCUCGAGUGGCGAACGGGUGAGUAUCACGUAAGUAACCUACCCUUCACUUUGGGAUAGCUUCAGGAAACUGGGCCUAAUCUCGGAUAGGAGCUCCUGCUCCAUGGUAGGCGUUGGAUCGUUUCGGCGGGUGGGGAUGGACUCGCGGCUUAUCAGCUUGUUGGUGGGGUAGUGGCUUACCCAGGCUUUGACGGAUAGCCGGCCUGUGAGGGUGAACGGCCACAUGGGGACUGAGAGACGGCGCAGUCGCCUACGGUAGGCAGCAGUGGGGAGUAUUGCACAAUGGGCCGAAGUCUGAGGCAGCGACGCCGCGUGCGGAAUGACGGCCUUCGGGGUGUGAACAGCUUUCGCCUGUGACGAAGCGUGAGUGACGGUAAUGGGUAAAGAAGCACCGGCUAACUACGUG